ACCAAUGUUUGGUUACUGUCAUGUCACAAUUAACAUUUGUUUAAAUCCCUGUGCAUACAUGAAUUGCACAGGUUUCUCAUUAUUAAAGUAGAGAUAUUGGGGCUGAAUUUAUGUACCAGUAGUCUAAAGACUCACAAGAUGAAGCUGGGGUAUGAUCAUUUUAGCUACUUUAAAGUAAGAAAAAUGUUACUAAGAUAUAUGGAGGAACUGGAAGAGGC